CCUUCCUCCUCCAAGGGGUCCAAUCCCCCAGCCCCCAUUUCCUAAAUUCAAAAUCGAGGGCUCAGAGAGAUUUCGAUGCACCCUGCCCCCUCAAAGUCCUCCGGCAAGGGUGUGGCCAAGCUGGGCAGUGCCCUGGACUGGGUGGCUGCUCUGCUCCUUGGGUAGGGUGGACAGGGCGGGGUCAAGUUGUCACCUCUUUGAGCUUCUGUUUCCUUAUUUAUCAAUCAAUUCCAGGCAGGAGGAAGCACUUUGGUGGGCCCUGGAGGGCAUUGUGUUCACUCCACCUGUCUACCUGGGAGGAGGCGGAGGCCGUGAGGUGGGGAGACUCAGCCCAGGAUCCUGGGAGGGAAAGAGGAGCCAGCCAGCAGCCAGGCCUCUGCCUCCCAGCCCUGGCCUCCUCUGAGGUGUAAGGCUGGCUUGCUCACUGCCGCCCUUGUGCCUUUGCCAGUGGGUGAGGCUGGCUGGCUGCCUGUCCCUGCUCCUGCUCUCCCAACUGACCACAGGAGCCUCGUGUCACAGCAAAGCCAUGGCUUCCCUGUGGCUACAGGGAUGGGUCACAGGGAGGAAGGGCUGCCCACUGGUUAGGGGUGCUGGCUGUGGGGUCAGAGCUGAAUCUGCAUCUUGGCUGCUGCUGUAUUGUGAGUCUUGACUGCUUGGGGCUGGGUACGUAGUAGUUGCUCUGUGUGCAGGCAUCAUCGCCAUGGCUGACUGCGGUCCCACAGAUUUGGAAGGUGUGGUGAGCUGGGUGCCGGGGUCCGGGAAGCUCGCAGGCCAGAUGCACUGCACAGAUGCCAGCAGUGGGGUUUGCCAAAGGCCAUCAUCUCAUCCCUGGGGGUUCCACAGUCUCCCAGCUCCUCCUCUCUGGCCUGCCCACCUGCCUCUUGGUCACAAGUGUAAACACAGGUUUCUCUUCCAGGCCUGGCAAGGAGGCAAGAGGCGGCUUCUGUCUGCAAACAAAGUGCAUGCAGCAGGCCCAGCUCUAAGCCACACCAUGACCCCCCUCCCCAGUGUUUCCCUGUAACUACACUGCACUGUGAAAGGAACUUUGCAGGUGUCACAAAGGUGACUGAUCAGCAAACCUUAAGAGGAGAUGAUCUGGCUCAGCUGACCUUGUCACAUGAGUCCUUUAAAAGCAGAGCAUUUUCUCUGACUGGUGACAGCAGCUGGGGCCCAAGAGACCCCGGGUGAGAGGGGUAGGCAUGAGGCAGUGCGGUGCAGGGGUCUCAGGGCAAGGCAGUGAGGAGCUAAGAGCCCCCAACCAACACCAGCAAGGACACAGGACCUCAGUCCUACAGCCACAAGGAGCUGGAUUCUGCUGACACCCCCAGAUAAGCCCAGGAGCCUCCAGGCGAGGGCCCGGCCCUGCUGAUACCUUGAGGUCAGCCUUGUGAGACCCUAAGCAGAUAACCC
rnacentral:lncRNA from 1 species